rnacentral:rRNA from 1 species
GACGAACGCUGGCGGCGUGCUUAACACAUGCAAGUCGAACGGAAAGGCCCUGCUUUUGCGGGGUGCUCGAGUGGCGAACGGGUGUGUAACACGUGAGUAACCUGCCCCUGACUGUGGGAUAACUUCAGGAAACAGGGGCUAAUACCGGAUAGGAGCUCCUGCUGCAUGGUGGGGGUUGGAAAGAUUCGGCGGUUGGGGCUGGACUCGCGGCUUACCAGCUUGUUGGUGGGGUAGUGGCUUACCAAGGCUUUGACGGGUAGCCGGCCUGAGAGGGUGACCGGCCACAUUGGGCCUGCGAUACGGCCCAGACUCCUACGGGCGGCAGCAGUGGGGAAUAUUGCACAAUGGGCGGAAGCCUGAUGCAGCAACGCCGCGUGCGGGAUGACGGCCUUCGGGUUGUAAACCGCUUUCGCCUGUGACGAAGCGUGAGUGACGGUAAUGGGUAAGGAAGCACCGGCUAACUACGUG